rnacentral:lncRNA from 1 species
UGGAAGCGUAAUUUGUUCUAUACCAAUUGUUGAAAGCAUGAUUUACUCUGAUACCAAUUGUUAGAACUGGUAUUUGUAUUGAUACCGAUUAUAUAACCCAAGAUCUAAAAUAGAAUAAAAUAAUAUGGAAAAAGAUAUUGGAGGAGAAAAAAAUAAUUAAACUAAUACUUUAUUAAUAAAAAGUAAUUAAUUACAUUCCGAGCAAUAUCUAUA